UCCCUACUGCAGUGUCCAUGACGAUCCUCA
rnacentral:piRNA from 1 species